rnacentral:tmRNA from 1 species
GGGGCCGCACUGGUUUCGACGGGGGAUAGUUUGGCCUAGACUGCAGCGGGAUGGCGACCCUAACCGCCAAAAAACAAUAACUGACAAAACUGUCAAACCUUGGAUGGUUCCUGGCAAAGGCGCCACCCUCGCUUGCGCCUAAUUAGAGCACCCAAAGAGGUUCCGCGAAUCGCGGACAAGCACGUUCCACCCUGCGUUUAGCGCUUUGGCAGGAAUGGAGCGCAACCAGAAAGCGAUAAGCUGUUGACGUUGGACUGGCGUUAACGGUCGAAAACCUUACAGUCGGAUCUAAGGGAAUACUCGUUUCCAUCAAUCUCUUAGAUUACUAGAUGGGGACUAAGCUGUAGAGGUCUUUGAUGAGCGUCCUUCGGACCGGGGUUCGACUCCCCGCGACUCCACCA